GGGUAGGUGGGUAGAAUAUACCAAGGGGAGCGAGAGAACCUUCGUUAAGGAAUUAGGCAAAUUUCCCCCGUACGUUCGCAAUAAGGGGGGCCUCUGGUGGUGAGCUUAAUCGCAAAGCUGCUGGAGGCCGCAGAGAAAUGGCUCUUCCAACUGUUUAACAAAAACACAGGUCUCUGCUAAGUCGAAAGACGAAGUAUAGGGGCUGACGCCUGCCCAGUGCUGGAAGGUUAAGGGGAGAGGUUAGGCGCAAGCCGAAGCUUUGAGCCGAAGCCCCAGUGAACGGCGGCCGUAACAAUAACGGUCCUAAGGUAGCGAAAUUCCUUGUCGGGUAAGUUCCGACCCGCACGAAUGGCGUAAUGAGAGGAGCACUGUCUCAACGAGGGACUCGGCGAACAUUGAAGGACGUGUGAAGAUACACGUGACCCGCAGCGGGACAAAAAGACCCCGUGAAGCUUUACUACAACUUGCCAUUGAGUUAGGGCUUAACCUGUGUAGUAUAGGUGGGAGGCUUUGAAGCUGGGACGCCAGUCUCGGUGGAGCCACCGUUGAAAUACCACCCUGGUUUAUUCUUGGCUCUAACCUGUCGCCGUUAUCCGGCAUGGGAACAGUGGCUGGUGGGUAGUUUGACUGGGGCGGUCGCCUCCGAAAGCGUAACAGAGGCGCCCAAAUGUUCCCUCAGGCUGAAUGGAAACCAGCCGUUGAGUGUAAAGGCACAAGGGAGCUUGACUGCAAGACCAACAAGUCGCGCAGGGACGAAAGUCGGGCUUAGUGAUCCCACGGUUCAGAGUGGAAUGGCCGUGGCUUACCGGAUAAAAGCUACUCCGGGGAUAACAGGGUAGUCUAGUCCAAGAGUUCAUAUCGACGACCAGGUUCGCCACCUCGAUGUCGGCUCAUCACAUCCUGGGGCUGGAUAAGGUCCCAAGGGUUGGGCUGUUCGCCCAUUAAAGUGGUACGUGAGCUGGGUUCAGACCGUCGUGAGACAGGUCGGUCUCUAUCCGCUGUGGGCGUAAGGGAUUUGAGAGAAGCUGCCCCUAGUACGAGAGGACCGGGGUGGACGGACCUCUAGUGUGCCAGUUGUUCUGCCAAGAGCAUUGCUGGGUAGCUACGUCCGGCAGAGAUAACCGCUGAAAGCAUCUAAGUGGGAAACUCGUCUCAAGAUUAGAUCCCUCAUCCGUAUGGAGUAAGACCGCUAGAAGACGACUAGUUUGAUAGGCGGCAGGUGUAAG
rnacentral:rRNA from 1 species